CUUACCAACACCACCGUCUGGCGCUUCUGUCUGUCAAUCAAGGAUCAUCUCAAAUGCUGUCUCCUCCAGGACCUUUCUCUCUCGUGAGCUUUUUUCUCUACUCUGACCAAGAUUCUUUGAAGAGCAAGAGCCAUUUCCCUGACUGAUACAACUCGGUAUCCUCUCAGUGCUCAGCUCAUUCCAUUUCACAAGUGGAUGCAUUCCCAAGAAAAGAGGGGAAGCCCAGAAGUGAGGGACCAAUCAGAAAAGCCAACUACUCUUCCCUAUACCGUGAUAUUGUGCUGGAAGGUGUAAGUAGGCAGCCCUUAGUAGAGCUGUCCCAAGCAUGUGAGCUCAUCACUUUGGGAAGGAGGGCUGGUCUAUCUGAGUUCUGGGAGCCAUAGCCUGGGGCUGCUCAGGGAAUGAGAAGGCUGUUCUGUGACUGUCACAGCCCUCCUGCUUCUCAAUCUUACAGGGAGUCAUCAUCACUGUUAAGAAGAAAGGCAGAGAGAGGUCUGACUGUAGUAACUCCAUGACCCAGAAAAUUCAGGUUCACCUUCUGGAUCUCAGGAACUGGUGGCAGGCCCUCGCCGCCUCAUCCUCCACAGAUGUUCACCUACCUCCAGGCAGAGCUUCCAAGCUGUUUUGGUUUUGCACCCAUGUUGGCAAACACUUUUCAAGCAUGCCUUUACAAUAUAUGUCUGUUAACUAAUAAAGUCUAUGCAUGUAUCAUAAUACUAAUGUUUUAAAUACACACAAACUUGUCACAUGAAACUCAAAAUUUUAAAGGGUGAGAUUAAAAAGAUGUACGCAACUGGCAGUUCCACAUCCCUUCUUGCUCGGUGACACCGCCUUUCAGGCCCCUGACUUUGGCGUCCAGCACUCUAGGGUAUU